rnacentral:rRNA from 1 species
UACGAAGGGGGCUAGCGUUGCUCGGAAUCACUGGGCGUAAAGCGCACGUAGGCGGAUUGUUAAGUCAGGGGUGAAAUCCUGGAGCUCAACUCCAGAACUGCCUUUGAUACUGGCGAUCUCGAGUCCGGGAGAGGUGAGUGGAACUGCGAGUGUAGAGGUGAAAUUCGUAGAUAUUCGCAAGAACACCAGUGGCGAAGGCGGCAUCCUGGACCAACACUGACGCUGAGUGAGCGAAAGCCAGGGGAGCAAACGGG